AACGCACAUUGCACCCUCUGGUAUUCCAAGGGGUAUGCCUGUUCGAGCGUCAUUACAACCCUCAAGCACUGCUUGGUUUUGGAUGUUACCAUUGUGGUGCAUCUCAAAAGUAUUGGCAGUAGCAUUCAGCUUCUAGCGUAGUAGAUUUCCUCGCUUUGGAGUUGAAGUGUCUAAUUGCUAGAACCCUUAAUUUGUCAAAGGUUGACCUCGGAUCAGGUAGGGAUACCCGCUGAACUUAA
rnacentral:misc_RNA from 2 species